UAAGCCCUACGGGGGGCAGCAGUGAGGAAUAUUGGUCAAUGGACGCAAGUCUGAACCAGCCAUGCCGCGUGCAGGAAGACGGCUCUAUGAGUUGUAAACUGCUUUUGUACGAGGGUAAAUGCAGGUACGUGUAUCUGUUUGAAAGUAUCGCACGAAUAAGGAUCGGCUAACUCCGUGCCAGCAGCCGCGGUAAUACGGAGGAUCCGAGCGUUCUCCGGAUUUAUUGGGUUUAAAGGGUGCGUAGGCGGUUUUAUAAGUUAGUGGUGAAAUCUCGGGGCUCAACU
rnacentral:rRNA from 1 species